AGUUAAUAAGCUUAUUAAGCUUAUAUUUUGAAAAUAUAAGAAAAAGGUUAAAUCCUUUAUUAACUU
rnacentral:tRNA from 1 species